GACGAACGCUGGCGGCGUGCUUAACACAUGCAAGUCGAACGGUAAGGCCCUUCGGGGUACACGAGUGGCGAACGGGUGAGUAACACGUGGGUGAUCUGCCCUGCACUUCGGGAUAAGCCUGGGAAACUGGGUCUAAUACCGGAUAGGACCACUGCCUGCAUGGGUGGUGGUGGAAAGCUUUUGCGGUGUGGGAUGGGCCCGCGGCCUAUCAGCUUGUUGGUGGGGUGAUGGCCUACCAAGGCGACGACGGGUAGCCGGCCUGGGAGGGUGACCGGCCACAAUGGGACUGAGAUACGGCGCAGACUCCUACGGGAGGCAGCAGUGGGGAAUAUUGCACAAUGGGCGCAAGCCUGAUGCAGCGACGCCGCGUGAGGGAUGACGGCCUUCGGGUUGUAAACCUCUUUCAGCACCGACGAAGCGCAAGUGACGGUAGGUGCAGAAGAAGGACCGGCCAACUACGUGCCAGCCGCCGCGGUAA
rnacentral:rRNA from 1 species